rnacentral:rRNA from 1 species
UACGGGAGGCAGCAGUGGGGAAUAUUGGACAAUGGGGGCAACCCUGAUCCAGCCAUGCCGCGUGUGUGAAGAAGGCCCGAGGGUUGUAAAGCACUUUUAGUGAGGAGGAAAGGCAAUUAGUUAAUACCUGAUUGCUGUGACGUUACUCACAGAAAAAGCACCGGCUAACUCUGUGCCAGCAGCCGCGGUAAUACAGAGGGUGCAAGCGUUAUUCGGAAUUACUGGGCGUAAAGCGCGCGUAGGCGGAUUGUUAAGUCAGUUGUGAAAGCCCUGGGCUCAACCUAGGAACGGCGAUUGAAACUGGCAGUCUAGAGUUUAGUAGAGGGAAGGGGAAUUUCUGGAGUAGCAGUGAAAUGCGUAGAUAUCAGAAGGAACAUCAGUGGCGAAGGCGCCUUCCUGGACUAAAACUGACGCUGAGGUGCGAAAGCGUGGGGAGCAAACGGGAUUAGAUACCCCGGUAGUCCACGCCCUAAACGAUGUCAACUAGCUGUUGGUCUUA